UGGUGUGUUGGUAGGAGAGCGUUCUAAGGGCGUUGAAGGUAGAUCGUGAGGACUGCUGGAGCGCUUAGAAGUGAGAAUGCCGGUAUGAGUAGCGAAAGACAGGUGAGAAUCCUGUCCACCGAAUGACUAAGGUUUCCUGGGGAAGGCUCGUCCGCCCAGGGUUAGUCGGGACCUAAGCCGAGGCCGAAAGGCGUAGGCGAUGGAUAACAGGUUGAUAUUCCUGUACCCGUUGUUUUUGUUUGAGCAAUGGAGGGACGCAGGAGGCUAAGGAAUCAGACGAUUGGAAAUGUCUGUCCAAGCAAUGAGUCUUGAUGUGAGUCAAAUGCUUACAUCUCUAAGGACAAGUUGUGAUGGGGAGGGAAAUAAUAGUACCGAAGUUCCUGAUGUCACACUGCCGAGAAAAGCUUCUAGUGAGAAAACAAUGGCCCGUACCGCAAACCGACACAGGUAGUCGAGGAGAGAAUCCUAAGGUGAGCGAGAGAACUCUCGUUAAGGAACUCGGCAAAAUGACCCCGUAACUUCGGGAGAAGGGGUGCUGAUCUAACGAUCAGCCGCAGUGAAUAGGCCCAAGCGACUGUUUAUCAAAAACACAGGUCUCUGCAAAAUCGAAAGAUGACGUAUAGGGGCUGACGCCUGCCCGGUGCUGGAAGGUUAAGAGGAG
rnacentral:rRNA from 1 species